rnacentral:rRNA from 1 species
UACGAAUGGAGCGAGCGUUGUUCGGAAUCACUGGGCGUAAAGCGUGCGCAGGCGGUUUUGAAAGUUAGAAUUGAAAGCCCAGGGCUCAACCUUGGAAUUGCUUUUAAAACUUCAAGACUAGAGUACUGGAGGGGUUGGCGGAAUUUCGAGUGUAGCAGUGAAAUGCGUAGAUAUUCGAAGGAACACCGAUGGCGUAGGCAGCCAACUGGACAGUUACUGACGCUCAUGCACGAAAGCGUGGGGAUCAAACAGG